rnacentral:rRNA from 1 species
GAGGUAGUGACAAGAAAUAACAAUACGGGGCUUAACGUCUUGUAAUUGGAAUGAUGGGAAUCUAAACCUCUUCCAGAGUAUCAAUUGGAGGGCAAGUCUGGUGCCAGCAGCCGCGGUAAUUCCAGCUCCAAUAGCGUAUAUUAAAAUUGUUGCAGUUAAAAAGCUCGUAGUUGAAUUUCUGCCGCCCCGCCUCUGCCCCUCGACGGGCGUUUGCGCCGCGGCUUUUUCGGAUUAUGCUUGCAUUUUCCGAGUGUUACUUUGAGAAAAUUAGAGUGCUCAAAGCAGGCUUUUGCCUUGAAUAGUUUAGCAUGGAAUAAUAGAGUAGGACUUUGGUUCUAUUUUGUUGGUUUUAGGUCCCAAAGUAAUGGUUAAUAGGAACAGUUGGGGGCAUUCGUAUUUAACUGUCAGAGGUGAAAUUCUUAGAUUUGUUAAAGACGAACUACUGCGAAAGCAUUUGCCAAGGAUGUUUUCAUUAAUCAAGAACGAAAGUUAGGGGAUCGAAGACGAUCAGAUACCGUCGUAGUCCUAACCAUAAA